UACGUAGGGAGCGAGCGUUGUCCGGAAUUACUGGGCGUAAAGGGUGCGUAGGCGGUCAGGCAAGUCAGAUGUGAAAUCCCCGGGCUUAACUCGGGUGGUGCAUUUGAAACUGCUUGACUUGAGUGCAGGAGAGGAAAGCGGAAUUCCUAGUGUAGCGGUGAAAUGCGUAGAUAUUAGGAGGAACACCAGUGGCGAAGGCGGCUUUCUGGACUGUAACUGACGCUGAGGCACGAAAGCGUGGGGAGCAAAC
rnacentral:rRNA from 1 species